rnacentral:rRNA from 1 species
UGGGGAAUAUUUCACAAUGGGCGCAAGCCUGAUGCAGCCAUGCCGCGUGUGUGAAGAAGGCCUUCGGGUUGUAAAGCACUUUCAGCGGGGAGGAAGGCGGUGAGGUUAAUAACCUCAUCGAUUGACGUUACCCGCAGAAGAAGCACCGGCUAACUCCGUGCCAGCAGCCGCGGUAAUACGGAGGGUGCAAGCGUUAAUCGGAAUUACUGGGCGUAAAGCGCACGCAGGCGGUCUGUCAAGUCGGAUGUGAAAUCCCCGGGCUCAACCUGGGAACUGCAUUCGAAACUGGCAGGCUAGAGUCUUGUAGAGGGGGGUAGAAUUCCAGGUGUAGCGGUGAAAUGCGUAGAGAUCUGGAGGAAUACCGGUGGCGAAGGCGGCCCCCUGGACAAAGACUGACGCUCAGGUGCGAAAGCGUGGGGAGCAAACAGG